GACAGAGGUGCCAAGCGUUAGGCGGAAUCACUGGGCUUAAAGCGUGUGUAGGCGGAUCGUUAAGUACCUUGUGAAAUCCCACGGCUCAACCGUGGAACUGCUCGGUAUACUGGCGGUCUUGAGCCACCUAGGGGCAACUGGAACAAGCGAUGGAGCGGUGAAAUGCGUAGAUAUCGCUUGGAACGCCAACGGUGAAAACAGGUUGCUGGGGGUGUGCUGACGCUGAGACACGAAAGCCAGGGGAGCGAACGGG
rnacentral:rRNA from 1 species